rnacentral:rRNA from 1 species
CUUACAAUCAUUCAGAGCCCUAUGAUUUAUCAGGGUGAUGGACUGCCUUUUGCAUAAUGAGCCUGCGAGUUGUGAUGUCUGGCGAGGUUAAGGAAACCCGGAGCCGUAGCGAAAGCGAGUCUUAAUAGGGCGUUUAGUCAGACGUUGCAGACCCGAAACGAUGUGAUCUAUCCAUGAGCAGGUUGAAACCGGUGUAAGAGCCGGUGGAGGACCGAACCCGCUAGCGUUGAAAAGCUAUGGGAUGACUUGUGGAUAGGGGUGAAAGGCCAAUCAAACAUCGUGAUAGCUGGUUCUCUCCGAAAUAUAUUUAGGUAUAGCGUCAUGUAGUAACACUAGGGGGUAGAGCACUGAAUGGGCUAGGGCAUACACCAAUGUACCAAACCCUAUCAAACUCCGAAUACCUAGUGUGUAAUCAUGGCAGUCAGGCGGCGAGUGAUAAAAUCCGUCGUCGAGAGGGGAACAACCCAGACUAACAGCUAAGGUCCCUAAAUCUCAUUUAAGUGGAAAACGAUGUGGAGUUACUUAAACAACCAGGAGGUUGGCUUAGAAGCAGCCAUCCUUUAAAGAAAGCGUAAUAGCUCACUGGUCUAGUGAUUCUGCGCGGAAAAUAUAACGGGGCUAAAAUGAGUACCGAAGCUUUAGACUUAGUUUACUAAGUGGUAGGAGAGCGUUGUAUUUGCGUUGAAGGUAUACCGGUAAGGAGUGCUGGAGCGAAUACAAGUGAGCAUGCAGGCAUGAGUAGCGAUAAUUGGGGUGAGAAUCCCCAACGCCGUAAACCCAAGGUUUCCUACGCGAUGCUCGUCAUCGUAGGGUUAGCCGGGUCCUAAGCAAAGUCCGAAAGGGGUAUGCGAUGGAAAAUUGGUUAAUAUUCCAAUGCCAACUAUAAUGUGCGAUGGAAGGACGCUUAGAGUUAGAGGAGCCAGCGGAUGGUAGUGCUGGUCGAAAGGUGCAGGUUGGAGUUCAGGCAAAUCCGAACUCCUUUAAGCCGAGGCCUUACAGGUGCGUGAAGUUCUUCGGAAUGAAUCGUAAAUCCUUGAUACUGUCGAGCCAAGAAAAGUUUCUAAGUUUAGUUAUAGUUGCCCGUACCGUAAACCGACACAGGUGGGUGGGAUGAGUAUUCUAAGGCGCGUGGAAGAACUCUCUUCAAGGAACUCUGCAAAAUAGCACCGUAUCUUCGGUAUAAGGUGUGCCUAACUUUGUGAAGGAUUUACUCCGUAAGCAUUGAAGGUUACAACAAAGAGUCCCUCCCGACUGUUUACCAAAAACACAGCACUCUGCUAACUCGUAAGAGGAUGUAUAGGGUGUGACGCCUGCCCGGUGCUCGAAGGUUAAUUGAUGACGUUAGCUCUGCGAAGCGUUUGAUCGAAGCCCGAGUAAACGGCGGCCGUAACUAUAACGGUCCUAAGGUAGCGAAAUUCCUUGUCGAUUAAAUAUCGACCUGCAUGAAUGGCGUAACGAGAUGGGAGCUGUCUCGAAGAGGGAUCCAGUGAAAUUGUAGUGGAGGUGAAAAUUCCUCCUACCCGCGGCAAGACGGAAAGACCCCGUGGACCUUUACUACAGCUUGACACUGCUAUUGGGAUAAAAAUGUGCAGGAUAGGCGGGAGGCUUUGAUCCAUAGACGCCAGUUUAUGGUGAGCCAUUGUUGAGAUACCGCUCUUUUUUAUUCUGAUAGCUAACUAGCUUGAGUUAUCCUCAAGUAGGACAAUGUCUGGUGGGUAGUUUGACUGGGGCGGUCGCCUCCCAAAAUGUAACGGAGGCUUACAAAGGUUGGCUCAGAACGGUUGGAAAUCGUUCGUAGAGUAUAAAGGCAUAAGCCAGCUUAACUGCGAGACAUACACGUCAAGCAGAGACGAAAGUCGGUCUUAGUGAUCCGGUGGUUCUGUGUGGAAGGGCCAUCGCUCAAAGGAUAAAAGGUACCCCGGGGAUAACAGGCUGAUCUCCCCCAAGAGCUCACAUCGACGGGGAGGUUUGGCACCUCGAUGUCGGCUCAUCGCAUCCUGGGGCUGAAGUCGGUCCCAAGGGUUGGGCUGUUCGCCCAUUAAAGCGGUACGCGAGCUGGGUUCAGAACGUCGUGAGACAGUUCGGUCCCUAUCUGCCGUGGGCGCAAGAAGAUUGAGGAGAGUUGA